rnacentral:rRNA from 1 species
GGGGCAAUUGGGGCGUGCUUUACCAUGCAAGUCGAACGAUGAACCUGGAGCUUGCUCUAGGGGAUUAGUGGCGAACGGGUGAGUAACACGUGAGUAACCUGCCCUUGACUCUGGGAUAACCUCCGGAAACGGAAGCUAAUACCGGAUAUGACGUACGGAGGCAUCUCCUGUACGUGGAAAGAACUUCGGUCAAGGAUGGACUCGCGGCCUAUCAGGUAGUUGGUGAGGUAACGGCCCACCAAGCCUACGACGGGUAGCCGGCCUGAGAGGGUGACCGGCCACACUGGGACUGAGACACGGCCCAGACUCCUACGGGAGGCAGCAGUGGGGAAUAUUGCACAAUGGGCGCAAGCCUGAUGCAGCAACGCCGCGUGAGGGAUGACGGCCUUCGGGUUGUAAACCUCUUUUAGUAGGGAAGAAGCGAAAGUGACGGUACCUGCAGAAAAAGCACCGGCUAACUACGUGCCAGCAGCCGCGGUAAUACGUAGGGUGCGAGCGUUGUCCGGAAUUAUUGGGCGUAAAGAGCUCGUAGGCGGUCUGUCGCGUCUGCUGUGAAAACCCGAGGCUCAACCUCGGGCCUGCAGUGGGUACGGGCAGACUAGAGUGCGGUAGGGGAGAAUGGAAUUCCUGGUGUAGCGGUGGAAUGCGCAGAUAUCAGGAGGAACACCGAUGGCGAAAGGCAGUUCUCUGGGCCGUAACUGACGCUGAGGAGCGAAAGCGUGGGGAGCGAACAGGAUUAGAUACCCUGGUAGUCCACGCCGUAAACGUUGGGCGCUAGAUGUGGGGACCAUUCCACGGGU